AUGAGAGGGUCGGCACCCUCCAGUUCCUGGGAGGUCCCAAAUGUCCUUGGGCAACGGAGGGGGUGGCAGUGGAUGUGGGGGGCUGGGAGCAGCAGGCUUUGCCUGAGCUAAGGAUUGGAGUAGCUCAGUUCCCGAUGAGAGCACAUCACAUCCAUUCCUACUGUCCUGCUUUCUUUCUAAAGGAACUCAACAAGAAACUAAGCAGGAUGCACUGCAGGAAGGCAGCCGUCCCACACUGCUGGUCUCGGACAUUGGAACGCAGGCAGCACCAACAACUGACAUGCCAGGUAGGAUACCACCGCAUUUACAGUGCAAUCAAAUGAGAAUGUGACAGAGACUCUGAAAUCAGUAAAACAAAAGCCUGAGGCUGAAGAAGCUCCACCUGGGGAAGUCAAGGUGGAGGAAACCCCUGCUGCUGCUGCUGUGGGAAAGGAGGCCAUCCCUGCUGAGCCAGAUGAGCCAACAGAGCAGGCUGCAGCACCCACUGCAUGUGCAGCUGAGUGUGGACGUGGAGGAAAGUGAUUCUGCAAAACCUGGUGAGCUUUGUGACCCACCUCUUUGAACAAUCCCCUGCCGUGUGUUUCAGCCCAACGUGUGUGGAAGAAGUGUUCCACAAAGUUUUCCUGCAAACUGGAGAGUAUCAGGGCAGGGGAUAAGGAGACAACUGGAAUUGCUGAGGAAGAGAGCGAGGAGGCUGCUUGACAGGCAUUAAGGAAUCUGAGUGCCUUCAGCACAGAGAUGGAAAUGGUUGUAAAGGACUUUUCCCAGAGAACUUCACACGCCACGGAACAGUUCUUCUCACAGGCACACGAAUGUGGUUUGAAGCUCAGUCAGUGGGUUCUUCACCUCCUUGAAACACAGGAGCCCCCUUUUUUUGUAGUUCAGGCUGUUAAUGGUUUACAGAUUGGUGCCAGACAAAGCUUGUUGGGCAUAUCAAAAUGAGCAUGAGUGCAAGCAGUUAAGCUAGCCAUUUCUGAAGCAGUGCGUGGAAAAAAAAAAAAAAACACCAAAUACAAACAGAAAUGUCCUCAUUUGUUCACAUGCACGUGGCAACAGGUUUGUUUGUGCUGUGCCAGACCUGUGGUGAUCCUGUGUUUGGUCCUUUCCCAUGAAAUCCAAAAUUAGCCUCCUUGAUACCAAAACCUGAACUUCUCUGCACUGUGUUGUAUUGAGUUGCACUGCAGAAAACUUAAUUAGUAAUCCUGUAGUAAUGAGGUCAAACUACUACAAGUUUCACGUGUUUAAAAAAUAUAAUUAACUGCUGCAGAGUCAGCCCAAAUGCUGUUGAGUUAAGGCACAGAGCUUCACAGGCAGCCCGGAUGCUGUUGAAUUAUGGCACAGAGCUUCAGAAUUAAUUUAAAUCCUUAUCUUGUAUAAGGUCUGCUGGUGGUGGCUUCAGAAGGACCUUUCCUAGUGUGAUCUUCUUGGCUCUCAACUGCUUCUUCUCUGCGGCUGUUAAUUCACUCCUCGGUGUGUGUGACUGCCCUGAUGCUGUGUGGGGAUGCAGGAGGUGCGGACGCGGCGCUGUGCGCAGAGGCACCAGCUGUCGGUGCGGCCAAAGCACUGCUUGCACCUGACAAGGUUCCGUAGCUGCCUUGGGAGCAGCGACAGCAAGCAGAGCGGUGCUGGAAGGAUUUGCUGCAGCAGGGCUCGCAGGGCCCGGAAGCCCCGAAGUCCACGGCCAGCGGCUGUUCCAGGAGCGUGAAGUGAGGCUGCGGAUGGAGCUGCAGAAUCCCCAGUGCCAACGGGAUGGGGACAGCUGUGCGAGGACGUCACCCUGAGGGCAGGAGGACUGGAGGCAGCAGCAGAGCUCCCCACAGCUGGAGCACUUCCAGACGGGACGCCGGGAUUUGCAUUCAAGGGUUUGUCCUUGCUUACUGCUGCUGCUGUUGGCUGGAGAGCCUGCAGUGAGGAAAUGGAUAGGAAGGCUGAGGAUGGGAGCACCUGCCAUACUGAAACACUGCUGCAUUUCAGUGCUGCAGAAGAACACUUACCAACGCCUGUUUAAUCGCUGGUUCCUUACGCAGAAACUUGCUUGGGAACCCAGUGCUUGGGGCUUACUGUCCUCCCAGUCCAAGAGAAGGUAAUUAAUGGUGGAGUGACCGCUUUCUCUCUCCAAAGUAGCUGAAAAAGUUCCAAAUACAUCCAUGAAAACUACAUUCCAGCACAGGCAAGCAUCUUUCAAUCCACACUUAAAGCAAAAACCCACGUGUGCCGACCAACUGAACAUAACCGAGAAACUGAACCAAACGCUGGCCAUGAGCAAUGGCAGCUUUAAACAAAACGCUCUCAGGCUGCUGUCUGCAAACACCCUAGAAGCAGGAAUCUGUUGACUGACGGGCAAAAAGUAAUUGCCAUCACCAAAACCCCUGGAGCUCUCAUUCUCCUCUCCCUUGCUCUAGUUUGUUCCAUGGCUCUAUCUGUAUCACUGCUUUGGCUCAGUCUGCUCUCUGAGUGCAGAACAAUCAUUUGUUUUUUUUCUUAUUUGGGU